rnacentral:rRNA from 1 species
UACGGAGGGUGCAAGCGUUAAUCGGAAUUACUGGGCGUAAAGCGCAUGCAGGUGGUUUGUUAAGUCAGAUGUGAAAGCCCUGGGCUCAACCUAGGAAUCGCAUUUGAAACUGACAAGCUAGAGUACUGUAGAGGGGGGUAGAAUUUCAGGUGUAGCGGUGAAAUGCGUAGAGAUCUGAAGGAAUACCGGUGGCGAAGGCGGCCCCCUGGACAGAUACUGACACUCAGAUGCGAAAGCGUGGGGAGCAAACAGG